GACGGAGAGACUAACAGGAUUCCCCUAGUAACUGCGAGUGAAGCGGGAAAAGCUCAAAUUUAAAAUCUGGCAGUCUCUGGCUGUCCGAGUUGUAAUCUAGAGAAGUAAUGCCCGUGCUGGACCGUGUAUAAGUCUCCUGGGAUGGGGCGUCAUAGAGGGUGAGAAUCCCGUCUUUGACACGGACUACCAGUGCAUUGUGGUAUGCUCUCAAAGAGUCGAGUUGUUUGGGAAUGCAGCUCAAAAUGGGUGGUAAAUUCCAUCUAAAGCUAAAUAUUGGCGAGAGACCGAUAGCGAACAAGUACCGUGAGGGAAAGAUGAAAAGAACUUUGGAAAGAGAGUUAAACAGUACGUGAAAUUGCUGAAAGGGAAACGCUUGAAGUCAGUCACGUUGGCCGGGAAUCAGCCUUGCUUUUGCAUGGUGUACUUUCUGGUUGAUGGGUCAGCAUCAAUUUUGACYGCUGGAAAAAGGCCUGGGGAAUGUGGCAGCUUCGGCUGUGUUAUAGCCCCUAGUCACAUACAGUGGUUGGGAUUGAGGAACUCAGCACGCCGCAAGGCCGGGUUUCGACCACGUUCGUGCUUAGGAUGCUGGCAUAAUGGCUUUAAGCGACCCGUCUUGAAACACGGACCAAGGAGUCUAACAUGCCUGCGAGUAUUUGGGUGGAAAACCCAAGUGCGYAAUGAAAGUGAAAGUUGAGAUCCCUGUCGUGGGGAGCAUCGAUGCCCGGACCAGAACUUUUGGGACGGAUCCGCGGUGGAGCAUGUAUGUUGGGACCCGAAAGAUGGUGAACUAUGCCUGAAUAGGGUGAAGCCAGAGGAAACUCUGGUGGAGGCUCGUAGCGAUUCUGACGUGCAAAUCGAUCGUCAAAUUUGGGUAUAGGGGCGAAAGACUAAUCGACCUCUGGGCCU
rnacentral:rRNA from 1 species